rnacentral:rRNA from 1 species
AUUGAACGCUGGCGGCAGGCCUAACACAUGCAAGUCGAACGGUAACAGGAAGCAGCUUGCUGCUUUGCUGACGAGUGGCGGACGGGUGAGUAAUGUCUGUGAAACUGCCUGAUGGAGGGGGAUAACUACUGGAAACGGUAGCUAAUACCGCAUAACGUCGCAAGACCAAAGAGGGGGACCUUAGGGCCUCUUGCCUUCGGCUGUGCCCAGAUGGGAUUAGCUAGUAGGUGGGGUAACGGCUCACCUAGGCGACGAUCCCUAGCUGGUCUGAGAGGAUGACCAGCCACACUGGAACUGAGACACGGUCCAGACUCCUACGGGAGGCAGCAGUGGGGAAUAUUGCACAAUGGGCGCAAGCCUGAUGCAGCCAUGCCGCGUGUAUGAAGAAGGCCUUCGGAUUGUAAAGUACUUUCAGCGGGGAGGAAGGGAGUAAAGUUAAUACCUUUGCUCAUUGACGUUACCAGCAGAAGAAGCACCGGCUAACUCCGUG